CAGCAGCCACGGGAAUACGUAGGGUGCGAGCGUUAAUCGGAAUUACUGGGCGUAAAGCGUGCGCAGGCGGUUUUGUAAGACAGGCGUGAAAUCCCCGGGCUCAACCUGGGAAUGGCGCUUGUGACUGCAAAGCUAGAGUGCGGCAGAGGGGGAUGGAAUUCCGCGUGUAGCAGUGAAAUGCGUAGAUAUGCGGAGGAACACCGAUGGCGAAGGCAAUCCCCUGGGCCUGCACUGACGCUCAUGCACGAAAGCGUGGGGAGCAAACAGGAUUAGAUACCCCCGUAGUCCCUGUCUCUUAUAA
rnacentral:rRNA from 1 species